rnacentral:lncRNA from 1 species
CUCCCCUGCGAGAGCGCUCCGCGCGCCGGCUGCCAGCCCACCUGGGCGAACCCUUCACCUGGGCGCCGCGCGUGGCGUGGCGAGGCCGGGCCCCGCCUCCCGGUCUCUCUGGUGUGGGGGAGGGCGGGGCCAACGAGCUGGGAACUUGCGGCGGGUCUCUCCGCCCGCCCCCCCCCCCGCCCGCCUUCCCAGGCUCCUGCCUUAACCUGUUGGCGGCCCCUGAGGGGAGAGAGCGGCGCGCGCGCGCGCUGAGGUAACCCGGCAGCGCGCUUGGAGAACUUCCUCGAGCGAAGUUGCGCGCAGCCCGUGAGGGAGCUCGGCCGAACGGGGCUCCUGCUCGCCUCUCCUUUGCUCCACGGGAUAAAGAGGUGUGUCUGGGCGAGAGAGAGAGAGAGAGCCUUGCAACAUGGCCUCCUCCUCCUCCUCUCCCUCCGCCUCCGCCGCCUUUUCUCCAGGCGGGGAUGCCCGAGAACUGGACCAGGUUUAUCACAGGCAUCAUCCUCCUCAAAGCUCUCGAAAGGACACUCCCUACAUCCCAUGCAAGGCUUGAGCUGCCAUGGAACUGGAAGGUCCUAAUAUUGAAUGACUGCCUUCAAUUACAGAAUUGUUCCCAUGCCUUGGAUGGGGAACCUGAGGCCCUAACAAUAUUGUUGGCCUGCUACUCCCACUCCCACCCCCCAACCAUUAGCCAUGCUAGGGAUUUGGAAUCCCAAAAGAUCUGGAGCACCACAGGUUCCUCAUAACCAAUUUAAAAGAAUCGGUCUUAAAAGGUUGCUUCUGGAGAGAAGUGUUGUAGCUGAUCGGAAAGAGUCCAACAUGUUGACCUUUCAUGGGCACUGCAUCAAAAUGGCUAAUGCCUGAGGAUAAUAUCAGUCAUGCUCUGCUGUGUUUCUGCUCGAGAUCCCACAAGUGCAGUUGAUGCUCAUGAUGCUUCCAUCCGAGAAGAAAGAAGUAUAUUUUCAUCCAUCCUUUCAGUCAUCUUGGUCUUUAAACCUGUGGGAAUCUUCAGUGUAUUGAGUUCUGAUUUAUUAACAUGGUGUGUGUGUGUGUGUGUGUGUGUGUGUGUGUGUGUGUUAAAAACUGAUUGAAAACUAUCACCAGGGAUCAGUGUCAUGCUUUUUAAUAAUCUUUUGAAAUCCUGGCAAGACAAAUUUCCUUGUUUUGCAUUCAACAGCAUGCAAAUGAGACUUCUAUAAGUGAUAAAAAUCGUUAUUUUAAAAGAGGUGUUUUUUUAAAAAAGAAGAAGAAGAAGAUAAGGAUUGGUAUUGCUUUGCAUGUUUUGUAGAACUUAGUAAAUACGGUAGAUAAUUAAAAUCACAAUGGAAGAUGUGCACUGGGAUGGAAAAUGAAUAACGUUAAGGUUGCCAGAUUGUCUUUUUCUUCAGACUUUCUCUUCUGCUGCAGAUAAACCAAUUACAAUGAUUUAAG